rnacentral:rRNA from 1 species
CAAUAGCGUAUAUUUAAGUUGUUGCAGUUAAAAAGCUCGUAGUUGGAUUUCGGGUGGGACGCAGCGGUCUCGCAUUGCGUUUGUACUGCUGCAGUCCUCCUUCUUGCCGGGGGCGGCCUCUCGGACUUCACUGUCUGGGGGUCAGAAUCGGCGAUGUUACUUUGAGUAAAUUAGAGUGUUCAAAGCAAGCUUACGCUCUGAAUAUAAUAGCAUGGGAUAACACGACAGGACUCUGGCCUAUCGUGUUGGUCUAUAGGACCAGAGUAAUGAUUAAGAGGGACAGUCGGGGGCAUUCGUAUUCCGUUGUCAGAGGUGAAAUUCUUGGAUUUACGGAAGACGAACAUCUGCGAAAGCAUUUGCCAAGGAUGUUUUCAUUGA